rnacentral:rRNA from 1 species
UGGGGAAUUUUGGACAAUGGGCGAAAGCCUGAUCCAGCCAUGCCGUGAGUGAAGAAGGCCUUCGGGUUGUAAAGCUCUUUUAGUCGGAAAGAAAGAGUUGCAAUGAAUAAUUGUGAUUUAUGACGGUACCGACAGAAAAAGCACCGGCUAACUACGUGCCAGCAGCCGCGGUAAUACGAAGGGUGCAAGCGUUACUCGGAAUUACUGGGCGUAAAGCGUGCGUAGGUGGUUGUUUAAGUCUGAUGUGAAAGCCCUGGGCUCAACCUGGGAAUGGCAUUGGAAACUGGGCAGCUGUAGUGCGGUAGAGGGUAGUGGAAUUCCCGGUGUAGCAGUGAAAUGCGUAGAGAUCGGGAGGAACAUCUGUGGCGAAGGCGACUGCCUGGACCAGCACUGACACUGAGGCACGAAAGCGUGGGGAGCAAACA